CCAUGCUGAUUCCAGUCCAGUGGACUAUCACAGUCUGGAAAUGGGAAGUUUAUAGAAAGCAAACUGGGAAGGAGACGUGUCCUUGUAGCUGCCAGGUCUUCUAAGAGAUACUCCAUUCUUUGAUGACUGAUGGAAAAGCCUCAUCAACCCCCACUGCUUAAGAACCCCUUAUCUUAAUCAACAGCCAUUAAUCAGUGAUCACUGUUACCAAAGCUCCAAGGUGCGCAUGAUGCAACUUCCUGGAUGGUGUGUAGGUUUUUUGUCAACAUGUGAAUCCCACGUGCAUUUCGGGGUAGCUGAGCAGUCCUGUUGUUGUUUUAACUGAGAAGUGGCAGAAUGAGGGCAAAUGAUAUUGUGUAUAGCAGCUUCCAGCAGGUGCCCCCGGGAGUUCCCUCAGAUCCCAGAGAUGAGGACAUCCCAUACAUGUCAUCAGUAAACCUAUAGACUCAAAUUUUCCUACACUCUCACCACAGAAUGUCCCAUCAUCAGCUGUGAAAUCCCAAACACCGACCAAAAGAGAUAAAGAACGGACAGAAACAGGGACCCAGAAAAAUGACAUCAUCAGCAUUACCGACAGCAACUUGAUUGAGAAAGACCCCGACCCCGAAUUCUCUGUGUGUAAGAAUUGAUAAAGAGAUUGAUUGUGCAAUACAGUUUUUACUGGACAGGACAAGCAGAAGAAAUGCAACAAACACUGUUUGUCACCGGAUCUUUAAGACACUCUCCAUUCUUAAUCGAGUCAAGGACAGUAUGCAGAACCUGGUCCCCAAGAACUCAGCACUUGAACUAGAUGCUACCACCGGAGGACCGACUGGAACCGCUAAGUCUGAAGAGUCAGUUGUUAGAACCAGAUGUUACCACCGGAAAACCAACUGGAACCGCUGAGUCUGAAGAGUCAGUUGUUAGAACCAGAUGUUAUCACCGGAGAACCGACUGGAACCGCUGAGUCUGAAGAGCCAGUUGUUAGAACCAGAUGUUACCACCGGAGGACUGACUGGAACCGCUGAGUCUGAAGAGCCAGUUGUUAGAACAGGAUGUUACCACCAGAGGACCGACUGGAACGGCUGAGUCUGAA